AUCCAGCUGACGAGUCCCGAAUGGGACGAAACGCACGUCUUGAAU
rnacentral:hammerhead_ribozyme from 1 species